CAGGAUUCGGCCCCCCCGCUUCACGGUUUUCAAGGUGUGGCCUGUUUCAUCCUGCUUAGAGAACGGGGUAAAGCAGAGAUCCCUUUAGAGUAUUUUACUGGUGGAUAUGGAUAGAUGUUGGAUGUGGAUCUCUGGUAGAACUCAGCCUUAAUGUGCCUUCCUCAUCCUUCUGCAGAGGCUGCAUUGCUGGUGUUACAGAAGUGAAUGGUUGCAGUUAAAUUUGCCAAACUGCGAACUACAGUAGCUGCAGGGUGGGCAAGUGUUUACURCAGGGCGAUCGUCUCUGGCAGAGAGGCUCUGGUUCCGCAGUCACGUCAGCAUCAUUGGUCCUUCUGUCUAGCAGUGCAGACUUCAUCGCAGGAGGCCUAAAAGUGUGCAUGCAGAAGUGAGUCAAUUCUUUACAUACUUUCUCCCUAAAUAUGUUCA
rnacentral:lncRNA from 1 species